CCCAGCUGCCAUAAACAGUGCUGACAUGAUCAUGGGAGUACAGAUGUGUCUUCAACGAACUGCUUUGGAAUCUUUAGGGUGAAUGCUUGAAGCCAACAGAUGGAUCUUGUGUCUGCCUAGUUCAAAGGGGUUAAUCAGAGACCAGUACUACCAGCUUCAUUGGCAGGAUCAUUCCUUCUUCAGUUGUGGUUUGAAAUUUAAAAGAACUUGGGUGCACACAGGGAAGAGAGGCAUUCCAAGACUUUUGACACUACCCAAGGACUUGCAUGUGUAUUGUCUUUGGAAUUCAGUGUAGAGCCAAAUUUACGAUAAAAU